GUCGGGGGGUGGAAGCGCUAUCGGGAAUCACUGUGCGUAAAGCGUCUGUAGGUGGUGAUGCAAGUCACUGGUGCAAAACUCUGGCUCAACCGGAGGAAAGCCAGUGAAACUGCAUGACUAGAGUGUGGGAGAGGUAGAAGGAAUUCCCUGAGUAGCGGUGAAAUGCGUAGAGACAGGGAAGAACACCGGAGGCGAAAGCGUUCUACUGGAACACAACUGACAAUGAGAGACGAAAGAUAGGGGAGCGAAUGGG
rnacentral:rRNA from 1 species